GCAAGUCGAACGGGAACGUUUCCUUCGGGAAACUAGUAUAGUGGCGGACGGGUGAGUAACGCUUGAUCAACCUGCCCUCGAGAUCGGGAUAGCCAUUCGAAAGGAUGGGUAAUACCGGAUAAGACCACAGUAUCGCAUGGUACGGUGGUAAAAAGGUUGGGAUUUUCGGACCUUCUGCUCGAGGAUGGGAUCAAGUUCUAUCAGCUUGUUGGUGAGGUAAUGGCUCACCAAGGCUUUGACGGAUAGCCGGCCUGAGAGGGUGAAC
rnacentral:rRNA from 1 species